GCCGCCGUGACCCUGCUGGAGUGCGGGGGGGACCUCCAGCCCCCCGGGGGGUCCCUGACUCUGCUCUGCCGCGGGAAUGAAUUCAGUUUCGAGAGUUUUGACAUGUACUGGGUCCGGCAAAGACCUGGGAAGGUGCUGGAAUUCGUCGCAUGGAUCAACGACGAUGGUGUCAGCACCGGUUACGCGCCGUCGGUCAAGGGCCGGUUCUCGAUCUCCAGGGACAACGGGCAGAGCUCGGUGACGCUGACCAUGAACAACCUCAAGGACGAGGAUUCCGCCGUUUAUUUCUGCGCUAAAGAUGCUGAUGGUGCUGAUGGUUAUGAUGCUGGUGAAAUUGACCGUUAA